GGAUGCGAUCAUACCAGCACUAAAGCACCGGAUCCCAUCAGAACUCCGAAGUUAAGCGUGCUUGGGUGAGAGUAGUACUAGGAUGGGUGACCUCUUGGGAAGUCCUUGUGUUGCAUUCC
rnacentral:rRNA from 1 species